UGGCGGACGGGUGAGUAACGCGUGGGCAACCUGGCCUGUACAGGGGGAUAACACUUAGAAAUAGGUGCUAAUACCGCAUAACGGGAGAAGCCGCAUGGCUUUUCCUGAAAACUCCGGUGGUACAGGAUGGGCCCGCGUCUGAUUAGCCAGUUGGCAGGGUAACGGCCUACCAAAGCGACGAUCAGUAGCCGGCCUGAGAGGGCGGACGGCCACACUGGGACUGAGACACGGACCAGACUCCUACGGGAGGCAGCAG
rnacentral:rRNA from 1 species